AUUUAUACAGAAAAAAAGAAAAGUGGGCACUCUGAACAACUUCAUAAGACACCAGGCAGCAGUCCCAGGACAGCUAACAUUAGGAAGCCCUCCUAAUGGAUAUUUCUGGAGUUGAGGUCCCCAUCAUUUACGCAGCUUUUAAGAGGUUUAACGGAUCUGGAACACAAUGAGUUAGACCGUGAUUCUCAGUCUCAAAACCCCGGCAGCCAAUCGCCAUCAGCAUAUUUUCGACCCGACAUACAGCGAAGAAGGAUAAAGGCAUCGUUAUGGACAACUGACACAACGGGUGACUUGGAUGCAAUUCUCCCGUUCUGCACGAACGUUUUUUCCAGCACACUGCGAACAGAGAAUUUAAACGUCCCGACAACUCCCCCGGGAACCUCAACCCACUCGCUACACAUUCCAUGUCCCAACAAUCAACGCACAACUGUGGCCCAAGUGCAUUGCUCUGAAUCAACACCUCCAGAAAAUUACUGUGCAGGGAACUUGAGGCUUCACGAUUCGGCGCUCUAUGGAUACGGAUAGCAGCACACCCCCCCCCCCGGUUUCUGCAAUUCGUCAGAAUAGCCUGCGCCAAAAAAGCAGAGACUCCUCCCCGGCGAAAAACGGCACAGAAGGCCACAUACAUCUAGAGCUGGGGGAUUCCGGCUCACCGAACAUUCCCAAUGAAACAACCAAAGCGGAGGAUAUCCCUGUUUUUAAUGACGUUUCCGAGGUUGACAACCAGUUAUUCUGUGAUGCGGCCAACCUUCUUGACCCCGACAAUUCUAUGGCGUCAACAUCAGGAUCUGAAAUAGAACAAGCAAGGUUUUUCACAGUAUUUUCCAGGGCUUUGAAAUCGAGGAACGUUUUGCUAUACAAACGACUGGGGGUUUUACUUAAGAGACAGUACCGAGACGAUAUGUUAUUCUGGCAUAGAACAAUUCCACCCACGCAUGUUAAACAGCAAACCGAUUAAAAAACGCAAAUACAAGCUCUAAAAUCAUAUAUGUAACACGGAUCAUUCCAGAAAUACCCCAAAACGACACAUCCUUAAUUAUCCAAAUGAACCCUGACAGAAUAGAGGUCAACAAAACCAAACGAAAUGUGUCGAAAUUGUACUUAAAUUCGCUUUGGGGCAAAUUAUCGCAGAGAUGUAAUAUGCUAACAACGUCGAUUAUUAAAGACCCCAAAGAAUUUUUGGAAUUUGUUUUUUCGGACCAAUACGAAAUUUCACAUUUUUAAUUAUUAAGUCAAGACAUUGCCCUGGUGCAAUGGCGACGUAAGAAGAAGUGGGUUCUACCCCAGGGUAAUGUAAAUGUGUUUCUUGCAGCAUUUACCACGGCCUAUGGCCGACUUGAAGUGUACACGCUCAUGGAGCAGCUUCAGAGGCGGGUUCUUUACCACGACACAGACUCUGUGGUCUAUGUAAGCAAACAGGGGGAUUGGUGUCAUGCAGGUGAAAGAGGACCCAAAAGCGACUUGGCGAA